AGCUCCAAUAGCGUAUAUUAAAGUUGUUGCGGUUAAAAAGCUCGUAGUUGGAUUUCUGCCGAGGACGACCGGUCCGCCCUCUGGGUGAGCAUCUGGCUCGGCCUUGACAUCUUCUUGGUGAACGUAGCUGCACUUGACUGUGUGGUGCGGUACCCAGGACUUUUACUUUGAGGAAAUUAGAGUGUUUCAAGCAGGCAUACGCCUUGAAUACAUUAGCAUGGAAUAAUAAGAUAGGACCUUGGUUCUAUUUUGUUGGUUUCUAGAGCUGAGGUAAUGAUUAAUAGGGAUAGUUGGGGGCAUUCGUAUUCAAACGACAGAGGUGAAAUUCUUGGACCGUUUGAAGACGAACUAAGGCGAAAGCAUUUGCCAAGAAUGUUUUCA
rnacentral:rRNA from 1 species